rnacentral:lncRNA from 1 species
CCACAUUUCGUUUAUACGGAUUUAAAUUUCUGACAACAAAGUGGUAUUAUCAGUUUGUCAUGGAAAGGAGAGUUUUGAUAUUUCUCGCCAUUUGCACACUGCUUGUUGCAAGUGUGAGCGGAGAGCUAGGUGAGAAAGAGGAAGGUGAAGAAACUGACAGCAGGCGUCUGGAUAAACGUGAAGUUGCCGAGCUGGAAGACAUUAUGAUAAGGAAGAGUGAGAGGCGAGCUCCCCAGGCAGCAGCACAGAAAUAGGAAAAAGGGAUGCGAGCUCCCUAGAAAGCAGCACUGAGUAACAUCACAUCAGAAUGCACCUACUUGUUAUUUUAUGAAUAAACGAUUGGACCAAUUUAGUCUAUAUUCCUUUUCAAUGAUCUGGAAUGUUGACCUCGAAAUGUUCAUAUUCUUUUUCAAUGAUCCGAAAAGUUCACAUACAAAUGUUUGUUUUAUUGAUACUUCAGUGAUCUUUAGAUGUAAUAAUUGAUUAAUGUGUACAUUAGUAAACUGUAAUAAAAUGACGGUGUUGCA